AAUUUUUACUUGGGGAGCAAUUUUUAUUGCUAAGAGAGGGAGCUCUACCCUUGGAAUCUGAUCUAGUUAAUCCUAGCGUAGGGAAGUGAUGGCCUGCUUAG
rnacentral:ncRNA from 1 species